CAAUCGUCCAUCUUUGUAGGCUGCUCCUCCAUGGUGGACUUUAGUUACACAUACCACUUCCUGAAAAAUGUCAUAAUGUGCCCAGACUAUUGUAGUCUCCACAAAGUCUUGAAUGUUGCUUAAUGGUCCUGUACAGGAAAACAAAAUUAAUUAGCAUCUCGUCUGAAUAGUCAUGAAAAGGUAGUCCCAGCUUUCAGUUAAUCCAGUUCGUUGAUUAUAUUAAUUAGUAAAAUAGAUUUAAAUCGAACUUUCUCCAAAUUCAAUCAUUUUUUGUGUGUUUAGGUAUAUUUUAAAUAAAAUAUAAACAUUUAUAUAA